ensembl:snoRNA
UGGCUUGGUUUCCUGGGGGGUGGGCUCAGCAUACCCUACCUCCCCUCAGCCAAGCCUAGAGCAGAGAGGCCAGGGCAUCCUCCCUGUGGGAGAGGCAUUCAAGUAAGGGGCCUCGCCUGGGCUGUCCAAGCCUCACAUUG